rnacentral:rRNA from 1 species
GGGUUGUGAGGUUAAGCGACUAAGCGUACACGGUGGAUGCCCUGGCAGUCAGAGGCGAUGAAGGACGUGCUAAUCUGCGAAAAGCGUCGGUAAGGUGAUAUGAACCGUUACAGCCGGCGAUGUCCGAAUGGGGAAACCCAGUGUGAUUCGUCACACUAUCGUUAACUGAAUACAUAGGUUAACGAGGCGAACCGGGGGAACUGAAACAUCUAAGUACCCCGAGGAAAAGAAAUCAACCGAGAUUCCCCCAGUAGCGGCGAGCGAACGGGGAGCAGCCCAGAGUCUGAAUCAGCUUGUGUGUUAGUGGAACGGUCUGGAAAGUCCGACGGUACAGGGUGAUAGUCCCGUACACCAAAAUGCACAGGCUGUGAACUCGAAGAGUAGGGCGGGACACGUGGUAUCCUGUCUGAAUAUGGGGGGACCAUCCUCCAAGGCUAAAUACUCCUGACUGACCGAUAGUGAACCAGUACCGUGAGGGAAAGGCGAAAAGAACCCCGGCGAGGGGAGUGAAAAAGAACCUGAAACCGUGUACGUACAAGCAGUGGGAGCACCUUCGGGUGUGACUGCGUACCUUUUGUAUAAUGGGUCAGCGACUUAUAUUCUGUAGCAAGGUUAACCGUAUAGGGGAGCCGCAGGGAAACCGAGUCUUAACUGGGCGUUAAGUUGCAGGGUAUAGACCCGAAACCCGGUGAUCUAGCCAUGGGCAGGUUGAAGGUUGGGUAACACUAACUGGAGGACCGAACCGACUAAUGUUGAAAAAUUAGCGGAUGACUUGUGGCUGGGGGUGAAAGGCCAAUCAAACCGGGAGAUAGCUGGUUCUCCCCGAAAGCUAUUUAGGUAGCGCCUCGUGAACUCAUCUUCGGGGGUAGAGCACUGUUUCGGCUAGGGGGUCAUCCCGACUUACCAACCCGAUGCAAACUACGAAUACCGAAGAAUGUUAUCACGGGAGACACACGGCGGGUGCUAACGUCCGUCGUGAAGAGGGAAACAACCCAGACCGCCAGCUAAGGUCCCAAAGUCAUGGUUAAGUGGGAAACGAUGUGGGAAGGCCCAGACAGCCAGGAUGUUGGCUUAGAAGCAGCCAUCAUUUAAAGAAAGCGUAAUAGCUCACUGGUCGAGUCGGCCUGCGCGGAAGAUGUAACGGGGCUAAACCAUGCACCGAAGCUGCGGCAGCGACACUAUGUGUUGUUGGGUAGGGGAGCGUUCUGUAAGCCUGUGAAGGUGUGCUGUGAGGCAUGCUGGAGGUAUCAGAAGUGCGAAUGCUGACAUAAGUAACGAUAAAGCGGGUGAAAAGCCCGCUCGCCGGAAGACCAAGGGUUCCUGUCCAACGUUAAUCGGGGCAGGGUGAGUCGACCCCUAAGGCGAGGCCGAAAGGCGUAGUCGAUGGGAAACAGGUUAAUAUUCCUGUACUUGGUGUUACUGCGAAGGGGGGACGGAGAAGGCUAUGUCAUCCGGGCGACGGUUGUCCCGGUUUAAGCAUGUAGGCUGGUUAUCCAGGCAAAUCCGGAUAAUCAAGGCUGAGGUGUGAUGACGAGGUACCACGGUACUGAAGUGACAGAUGCCCUGCUUCCAGGAAAAGCCUCUAAGCAUCAGGUAACAUCAAAUCGUACCCCAAACCGACACAGGUGGUCAGGUAGAGAAUACCAAGGCGCUUGAGAGAACUCGGGUGAAGGAACUAGGCAAAAUGGUGCCGUAACUUCGGGAGAAGGCACGCUGGUGUGUAGGUGAAGUCCCUGCGGACGGAGCUGAGACCAGUCGAAGAUACCAGCUGGCUGCAACUGUUUAUUAAAAACACAGCACUGUGCAAACACGAAAGUGGACGUAUACGGUGUGACGCCUGCCCGGUGCCGGAAGGUUAAUUGAUGGGGUUAUCCGUAAGGAGAAGCUCUUGAUCGAAGCCCCGGUAAACGGCGGCCGUAACUAUAACGGUCCUAAGGUAGCGAAAUUCCUUGUCGGGUAAGUUCCGACCUGCACGAAUGGCGUAAUGAUGGCCAGGCUGUCUCCACCCGAGACUCAGUGAAAUUGAACUCGCUGUGAAGAUGCAGUGUACCCGCGGCAAGACGGAAAGACCCCGUGAACCUUUACUAUAGCUUGACACUGAACAUUGAGCCUUGAUGUGUAGGAUAGGUGGGAGGCUUUGAAGCGUGGACGCCAGUCUGCGUGGAGCCAACCUUGAAAUACCACCCUUUAAUGUUUGAUGUUCUAACGUUGGCCCCUUAUCGGGGUUGCGGACAGUGUCUGGUGGGUAGUUUGACUGGGGCGGUCUCCUCCCAAAGCGUAACGGAGGAGCACGAAGGUUAGCUAAUCCUGGUCGGACAUCAGGAGGUUAGUGCAAUGGCAUAAGCUAGCUUGACUGCGAGCGUGACGGCGCGAGCAGGUGCGAAAGCAGGUCAUAGUGAUCCGGUGGUUCUGAAUGGAAGGGCCAUCGCUCAACGGAUAAAAGGUACUCCGGGGAUAACAGGCUGAUACCGCCCAAGAGUUCAUAUCGACGGCGGUGUUUGGCACCUCGAUGUCGGCUCAUCACAUCCUGGGGCUGAAGUAGGUCCCAAGGGUAUGGCUGUUCGCCAUUUAAAGUGGUACGCGAGCUGGGUUUAGAACGUCGUGAGACAGUUCGGUCCCUAUCUGCCGUGGGCGCUGGAGAAUUGAGGGGGGCUGCUCCUAGUACGAGAGGACCGGAGUGGACGCAUCACUGGUGUUCGGGUUGUCAUGCCAAUGGCACUGCCCGGUAGCUAAAUGCGGAAGAGAUAAGUGCUGAAAGCAUCUAAGCACGAAACUUGCCCCGAGAUGAGUUCUCCCUGAGACUAUAAGUCUCCUGAAGGAACGUUGAAGACGACGACGUUGAUAGGCCGGGUGUGUAAGCGCAGCGAUGCGUUGAGCUAACCGGUACUAAUGAACCGUGAGGCUUAACCUUACAACGCCGAAG